GAUGAACGCUAGCUACAGGCUUAACACAUGCAAGUCGAGGGGCAGCAUGCAGGUAGCUUGCUAUCUGUGAUGGCGACCGGCGCACGGGUGAGUAACGCGUGGGUAACCUGCCCUAUAGAGUGGGAUAGCAGUUAGAAAUGACUGAUAAUACCACAUAAGACCACAGUACGGCAUCGUACAGGGGUCAAAGAUUUAUCGCUAUAGGAUGGACCCGCGUCUGAUUAGCUAGUUGGUGAGGUAACGGCCCACCAAGGCGACGAUCAGUAGCCGGCUUGGAGAGAGUGACCGGCCCACAUUGGGACUGAGACACGGCCCAAACUCC
rnacentral:rRNA from 1 species